GGCUUAGAGUUUGAUCAUGGCUCAGGACGAGCGCUGGCGGCGCGCCUAACACAUGCAAGUCGAACGGAGUUGAUUUUGUUGAAGUUUUCGGAUGGAUACGAGGUUAACUUAGUGGCGAACGGGUGAGUAACGCGUGAGUAACCUGCCCCGAAGUGGGGGACAACAGUUGGAAACGACUGCUAAUACCGCAUAAGCCCACGGCACCGCAUGGUGCUGAGGGAAAAGGACUUCGGUUUGCUUCGGGAUGGACUCGCGUCCAAUUAGCUAGUUGGUGAGGUAACGGCCCACCAAGGCGACGAUUGGUAGCCGGACUGAGAGGUUGAACGGCCACAUUGGGACUGAGACACGGCCCAGACUCCUACGGGAGGCAGCAGUGGGGGAUAUUGCACAAUGGGGGAAACCCUGAUGCAGCGACGCCGCGUGGAGGAAGAAGGUUUUCGGAUUGUAAACUCCUGUCGUACGGGACGAUAAUGACGGUACCGUACAAGAAAGCCACGGCUAACUACGUGCCAGCAGCCGCGGUAAAACGUAGGUGGCAGCGUUGUCCGGAAUUACUGGGUGUAAAGGGAGCGCAGGCGGGGCGGCAAGUUGGAAGUGAAAUCUAUGGGCUCAACCCAUAAACUGCUUUCAAAACUGCUGGUCUUGAGUAGUGCAGAGGUAGGCG
rnacentral:rRNA from 1 species